rnacentral:rRNA from 1 species
UGCAAGUCGAACGGCAGCACGGGGGUAACCCUGGUGGCGAGUGGCGAACGGGUGAGGAAUACAUCGGAACGUAUCUUUAAGUGGGGGAUAACGCAUCGAAAGGUGUGCUAAUACCGCAUAAUCUCUGAGGAGAAAAGCAGGGGAUCGCAAGACCUUGCGCUUUUAGAGCGGCCGAUGCCUGAUUAGCUUGUUGGUGAGGUAAAAGCUCACCAAGGCUUCGAUCAGUAGCUGGUCUGAGAGGAUGACCAGCCACACUGGGACUGAGACACGGCCCAGACUCCUACGGGAGGCAGCAGUGGGGAAUUUUGGACAAUGGGGGAAACCCUGAUCCAGCCAUGCCGCGUGAGUGAAGAAGGCCUUCGGGUUGUAAAGCUCUUUCAGCCGGAACGAAACGGUUACGGUUAAUACCCGUGACUACUGACGGUACCGGAAGAAGAAGCACCGGCUAACUACGUGCCAGCAGCCGCGGUAAUACGUAGGGUGCGAGCGUUAAUCGGAAUUACUGGGCGUAAAGCGUGCGCAGGCGGUUUUGUAAGUCAGAUGUGAAAUCCCCGGGCUUAACCUGGGAACUGCGUUUGAAACUACAAGGCUAGAGCGUGGCAGAGGGGGGUGGAAUUCCGCGUGUAGCAGUGAAAUGCGUAGAGAUGUGGAGGAACACCGAUGGCGAAGGCAGCCCCCUGGGUCAACACUGACGCUCAGGCACGAAAGCAUGGGGAGCAAACAGGAUUAGAUACCCUGGUAGUCCAUGCCCUACACGAUGUCAACUAGUUGUC